rnacentral:rRNA from 1 species
UACGGAGGGUGCUAGCGUUAUUCGGAAUUACUGGGCGUAAAGAGCGCGUAGGCGGUCAGGUAAGUCAGAUGUGAAAGCCCUAGGCUUAACCUAGGAAGUGCAUCUGAAACUAUCUGACUUGAGUACGGGAGAGGGAAGUGGAAUUCCCGGUGUAGAGGUGAAAUUCGUAGAUAUCGGGAGGAACACCGGUGGCGAAGGCGGCUUCCUGGACCGAUACUGACGCUGAGGCGCGAAAGCGUGGGGAG